CAACGAUAUAGAUAUCUACCAAAGAAAAGUCUUCGAAGUUAUUGAGAAGUGAUUCAGGAAAGGAUAAUGGCAUCAAUUUGUAAAGGCAAGAGUUCAUGGCCGGAACUAGUUGGGUGUGAUGGAGACACUGCUGCUGCAACUAUCAAGAGACAAAAUAGUAACAUUGUGCGCGCCAUUGUUGUGCUAGAAGGAACUGGCGUAACAGAGGAUUUCAGAUGCGACAGGGUCUGGGUCUGGGUGAACGGAAGCCGGAUUGUCACCAUUACACCUAUAAUUGGUUAAAACUCAUGGAACGAAUGAAAAAUAAGCCGUAGCUGGUAUUGUCUUUGUCUUUCUAAAAAUUUCGCACAAAUGUAUGUUAUUGCUAAAAUAAAGAUAUUUCUUUGAUAUUUGGUAUCAA